rnacentral:rRNA from 1 species
AGAAUCAACGCUGGCGGCGUGCCUAACACAUGCAAGUCGAACGAGAAAGGGGUAGCAAUACCCUGAGUAAAGUGGCGCACGGGUGAGUAACACGUGACUAACCUACCCUUGAGUGGGGGAUAACUGAGGGAAACCUUAGCUAAUACCGCAUAAUACCCACGGGUCAAAGGAGCAAUUCGCUCGAGGAGGGGGUCGCGGCCGAUUAGUUAGUUGGCGGGGUAAUGGCCCACCAAGACGAUGAUCGGUAUCCGGCCUGAGAGGGCGCACGGACACACUGGAACUGAAACACGGUCCAGACUCCUACGGGAGGCAGCAGUGGGGAAUUUUGCGCAAUGGGGGAAACCCUGACGCAGCAACGCCGCGUGGAGGAUGAAGUCCUUCGGGACGGUAAACUCCUUUCGAUCGGGACGAUUAUGACGGUACCGGAAGAAGAAGCCCCGGCUAACUUCGCGCCAGCAGCCGC